CCUACGGGAGGCAGCAGUGAGGAAUAUUGGUCAAUGGCCGAGAGUCUGAACCAGCCAAGUCGCGUGAGGGAAGAAUGUCCUAUGGAUUGUAAACCUCUUUUGUCAGGGAGCAAAGUCGUCCACGUGUCGGCGGUGGAGGGUACCUGAAGAAAAAGCAUCGGCUAACUCCGUGCCAGCAGCCGCGGUAAUACGCGGGAUGCGAGCGUUGUCCGGAUUUAUUGGGUUAAAGGGGUGGGCAGGGGGCAUGUUAAGUCAGCGGUAAAAGCCCGGGGCGAAACCCCGGCCCGCCGUUGAAACUGGCGGGCUGGAGUUGGAGAGAAGUAGGCGGAAUGCGCGGUGUAGCGGUGAAAUGCAUAGAUAUCGCGCAGAACUCCGAUUGCGAAGGCAGCAUGCCGGCUCCACACUGACGCUGAGGCACGAAAGCGUGGGUAGCGAACAGGAUUAGAUACCCUUGUAGUC
rnacentral:rRNA from 1 species